rnacentral:rRNA from 2 species
AUCCUGGCUCAGAUUGAACGCUGGCGGCAGGCCUAACACAUGCAAGUCGAGCGGAUGAAGGGAGCUUGCUCCUGGAUUCAGCGGCGGACGGGUGAGUAAUGCCUAGGAAUCUGCCUGGUAGUGGGGGAUAACGUCCGGAAACGGGCGCUAAUACCGCAUACGUCCUGAGGGAGAAAGUGGGGGAUCUUCGGACCUCACGCUAUCAGAUGAGCCUAGGUCGGAUUAGCUAGUUGGUGGGGUAAAGGCCUACCAAGGCGACGAUCCGUAACUGGUCUGAGAGGAUGAUCAGUCACACUGGAACUGAGACACGGUCCAGACUCCUACGGGAGGCAGCAGUGGGGAAUAUUGGACAAUGGGCGAAAGCCUGAUCCAGCCAUGCCGCGUGUGUGAAGAAGGUCUUCGGAUUGUAAAGCACUUUAAGUUGGGAGGAAGGGCAGUAAGUUAAUACCUUGCUGUUUUGACGUUACCAACAGAAUAAGCACCGGCUAACUUCGUGCCAGCAG